CUAUACACGCUAAGAAAAUGUUACAUACCGGCUGUGUUAAAUUCACUCAUCGAACCGUUUCGUGCACAAGAACGCUUCGGUGAGUAAAAAUUUUGCUCAUAAUGUGAGUAACUGUUCGUAAACUCACAUUUUGUGUAAAUUAGCUUUUAGCGUUUGUUUAGAAAACGGUUCGAAAUGAAUGAAAUGUCAAAUUUCGAAACAAACUUGGAGUUUUUGUUUUUAUCUCGCGUUGUGCGGAUGCUGUCCCGGUGAAUUCCUCACGAAAUCCGUGCUCCUCCGGACAGGAUGGAGCAAUUGAGAAAGCGGCUGGACGCCGCUACCUUGGCAAUACUGGAAGGUAUUAUCAUAUAUUUGAGAAAAAUUGGCUUGGGAAAACGGUUUGCUUGCGAAUCAGUUGUGUGUUCUUCGGUUAGGUCAGAAUUUUCUACAGCGGAGGCGGAAGCGGCUUUCUGGUACAACCGCGGGAACAGGAUACACCGGAAAUAACGACGACAUCCGUGAAAGCAGUUGAUACCGGCAUAGUGAUCGUGAGAGAGAGUUUGUCGGGACCAAGGAGAAUGACAUAUCUUUUUGUAACCGGAAAAUCCGCAUUUAUCCGUUCCUAACCGUCGCUAACCGCUGCUAACUGAGCAGCAGUUAGACGCGGUUAACGACGGUCAUCAACGGAUAAAUGCGGAUUUUUCCGGUUAGUAAAGGAAGUGCUAUUCCCCUUGGUCGGGACGUCGUUCGUGCUGUAAGUACUGGUUGACAGGAUACGGGCACCGGUUUUUGGCUGUCUAAGGGAAAUUAUUAUUAUAAAAAUGCAGUAAUAUUCGAGUUUUGCUUUUAAAGUGGCACAACAGAAGCACUGCGUCAGUUUUCACCAUAUUCUCAACUUUGAUUUCUAUUUUGGCCAAUCCCGUAAUGCGAGUGGCCAAGUUAAAAGCACACUGGCCAAAGUAGACGCUGAGUUUUUGAGGAAAAAUAUUUAUUUCUUGCAUUUUUCAAUAAAAUUUUCUGGUUUUCAAAGCUUCAAUCAUCAUAUUAUAUUAGUAUCUAGUAGAAACAAAUAAGUUAAUGCUGAUUUAGAUCGCAACAGAAUGAAUAACGUACUAUGGCCAAAACUGAUGCUUCUACCCCACAUUUUAUUUCAUUGGAUUAUAUUUUUAUAAUUCCCUAAUAGAUGAACCAGCCUCGGGCUGAAAAUCUCUUUAAUAAAGAUACCUAACCUAAGCGACAGCCCGCUAGUCCAACGUAUAUGGAUCCGAACUCCUAUACGAGCUGAGAUUCGGUAACCAUACCAACCCCACCCCAGUUGGGAAGCAAGGAGAUCAAGAAGAGCCGAUGCAGAUUAAUUCAAGCGCAACCAUUGUACCACGGUUUUCAUCAAUGAAAGGCAGGUAAUUAUUAAUGCGUAUUUGUUUAUUAUUUUGGUUGUUUCUUGAUCCAUUAUCAUAAGUGGGGUGCUACAGUUAUACCAAAAAUAAAAUGUCGAUGGCUUCAUUAACCUGCCCUAGACAAUAUCGGAAUACAGAAAACGCCGAAGUUGCAAUUUAUCAAACAUUUCUGUUAAACAGCCCUAUUAAAUUUUUGCAUCUUCUCUACAGAAAUCAGGAGCGUCCGAGGUGCCAAAAAUGCCGUCCGGGGUGCCGUCACAAUGUCGUCGGAGGCGUCAGAAGUGCUCAAACAACACUAAACUGAAAAGAGGCAGGCCAAGUUCCAGUGGGAACGUACACCCAGCCAUUGUAUCGCGCUUUUCAACAAUGAAACAGACAGAAACCAGGAGCGUCCGAGGAGCCAAAAUGCCGUCCGGGUGCCGUCAAAAAGUCGUCCGAGGUGCCAGAAGUGAUUAAAGAGCACCAAGUUGAAAAGAGACAGGCCAAGUUCCAGUGGCCAGAACGUACACCCAGAAUGGAGAAGAAGAACAAAGCUCUCACAAUUCAUCGAGUAUAGUGUUGUUAAAUGAUAGAUUAGUAUCAGUUUCCAUACUUUAUAGGAAAAAAAAAAAUAAACGGAGCCAUAACUACUUUUUGUACUUAUUAUGGCGUAUGUCAAUGAUAGGAAUUAGCCAUAACCGGUACACUGAUGAGCUUAAGCACUUAAUCAAAAAUAUUUGUAAAAUAAACUUUCUCUCUGAUUGUAUUGCGUCCACUCGAAUAACAGCAAAUACAACCAAGAAUAGAACAGUCCCAGCAAAGAUGGGAACGUUAUGCGAGUGGGGGCAGUAUGGUUUUAAAGCGAUAUUAUUGACAGAGCUUUGCGUCAAAGCGAUUAUUUUUAGGCUAUAGAAGAAAUAAUCAAAAACAGAAAAAAAUUGUAACAUUUCAAAAACACUUUGAUGAUACUGCCCCUCUUCGCAUAUUACUGUACUAUAACUCCAUCCAUAAAAACUGUAUUCACUUCAUGCAUACCCUAUUCGUACCAUAUUAAGCUGUGAAAUGAGGCGUUAAAAAUAUCAAAUUUGUUUUAAAUGACCACGUGAGUGAAAACGACACGGACUGAUAUGCGAAGACGGGCAGUAUAUAGGCUUAUCUUUAGCCUACACUAUACUCAUGAGACACUGAAGAGCAGGCUCUGUAUCAGUGAUUAUGCCAUAUGCCAAGAAAUUAAAAAAAAAAAAAAACAAAAAAAAUGCAUUAAAACGAAUAAAACAUAAAUACAUAUAUAAAAAGAGUAAUAUAAAAACUAUCAAAUUGCAGAUUUUACUUCCGACGCGGUUGAAAAUCUGAUUUUUGACACGUGAGAGUACUAUUUUACGUCGUACGGCAAGCGUAAUGAGCUGGACGUGCGAAGAAAAAUUGGCAAUCGCGUGUUAAAAUUCCGAUUUUCAACGCGCGCUAAGAACAUUUCGUUUGCGCAAGAAAUUUCUAAACCAUUCCAUUUUACUAACCGAUGAGUAAAUUUUGCUCAUCCAAUUCUAAACAAGCGAAGCGUUUGUGGUGUGUAAAAAUCACUCAUCAUCGUAACGCUUCAUGAAAACGCUUCGCUGUGUAAAUUUUACUCAUGACUUUUUUCAAGAACAACAGUUACUCUAAAAUGAGUAAACCGACAUUUGCUCAUUUUUUGUGUUGUCCCAGUUUAGCUCGGAGAUGUGUGAAAAGAACUCAAUUAAGAGUAUCA